CUUCAAGUUGCCACGUCACGUCUCACACGGUCACGACCCACGAAUGGAAACCAUUAAAAACCCCAUUUUUUUUCUUCUCCUCCGCUUUCUCUCUCCCUGCCUCUCCCACUUCUGACUACUCCCUCUCCUUUGCGAAAAACUUCGUUUCGGAUCGUUCCGAAAUCCAUCGAAUUCGAGGAAAUUAGGUUAAAAGCCUGAGAAAAAUCUGGAUUAGAAGACGGAGAGAGGAGAAAUAUAAGGGGAGAAUCCCUUUCUUCGGGGUAGAUUGGGGAGCCGGUAGCUCUGCAAUCCUCUUCGGCCUCCGAUCAAUGGAUUCCGAUCUCUGGGCCUCCCGCCUCUUCGCCGACAAAAGGCAUUACUUGCUUCAGCACCGCCAGAAUCCCCAAUCAGAUCGGCUGGGCGUCGAUGAUUUCGAGAUGGAAGAGGAGGUCCGCCCGGAUUUCCCCUGCCCGCACUGCUACGGGGAUCAUGAUGUCACGUCGCUAUGUUACCACGUCGAAGACGAUCAUGCUUUUGAGUCGAAAACCGCUGAUCACUUGCAGAGACAAAGACAGUUACGGAGAUUUGCUAUUCCCAGCAGCCAGACACUUUCUCUACUGGGGAGAGACCUUCGUGAGGCUUAUCUGCAGUUGCUUUUGGGAACUGGGACCUAUCGGUCGAGCAACACUGGUGCAUCAAACACUUCAGCUGAUUCAUUUCUUUCAUCAGUUGUUUUAAAUUUCCCAACAUCUGAAACUGAAGAAAGUUUAAAAUCGUCCAUCUCCACCACAGAGGAUGCUUAUAUGAAAAAAGUAAGGCCUUCAAAAACUUGGAAAUCAAGAGCAAGAGCAUGCAUGACUUUUGGAAAUUAUUAAUGCGUAAUAUGCAUGUCAUGCAUCCUUCUUAUGAUGAUAGCUAGACAGACAAAGGUAGAUUGUCAAACUGUAGCAUGAUCCUUUCACCAUGGUAGCGGGGCGUCUUUUUGGUCAUGGAUGAGCGAAGAAUGCAGCCAUUUUUCUUUCAAUACUGUGAAAAUAUUGCAUGAACAUCAGAUACAUGCUUAGACUUUGGACUUGAACGGGAACUUUGACCGCAGAACGUGUCUUAGGACCCUCUUUCUGGUAUAUUUCUUGACUCAUCAUUGACUCAUGAGGAGAGGGAACAGAAGCAGAAACAGGCGAUUGUUAGAGCAACAUUUGUUCAGGACCUGCUUCUGUCAGCUCUAUUUGGCGACUAAAGAAGAACGAACGUUGAAUCUAAUGGCAAACAGGUUGUUGGUGAUUCCAAUAAUGCUAGAACACACUACUGCUGAUUUAUAGAUGAAUAAUCUUGUUAAGUUAGGCCGUUGUUGGGUCUCAAGAGCAUGAGGUGCAGACCACGCCAUCACCUUAUUGCACAUUCUAUAAAUGCGUAGGUGUAAGCAGCAUCUCCCACCUUUGCUGCCUCUUAGGAAAAUUCGAGUUGAAUUUUAGGGUACAUAAAGUGAUGUUGUAUUCAAAUAAAUCUGCUUAUCUAUUCUGAGUACUCAAUAUGCAAUAUGCUGAACUCAAUAUGUAUGAACCAGUUAUGUAAGUGAUAUUUAAUUAGAAAACCUGCCUUUCCUGAUGGUGUCA